rnacentral:rRNA from 1 species
UACGGAGGGGGGCUAGCGUUGUUCGGAAUUACUGGGCGUAAAGCACGCGUAGGCGGAUCUGCAAGUCGGGGGUGAAAUCCCGAGGCUCAACCUCGGAACUGCCUUCGAUACUGCGGGUCUCGAGUCCGGGAGAGGUGAGUGGAAUUCCUAGUGUAGAGGUGAAAUUCGUAGAUAUUCGGAAGAACACCAGUGGCGAAGGCGACUUACUGGACACAUAUUGACGCUGAGGUGCGAAAGCGUGGGGAGCAAACAGG